rnacentral:rRNA from 1 species
GACGAACGCUGGCGGCGUGCUUAACACAUGCAAGUCGAACGGAAAGGCCCUGCUUUUGUGGGGUGCUCGAGUGGCGAACGGGUGAGUAACACGUGAGUAACCUGCCCUUGACUUUGGGAUAACUUCAGGAAACUGGGGCUAAUACCGGAUAGGAGCGCCUGCUGCAUGGUGGGGGUUGGAAAGUUUCGGCGGUUGGGGGUGGACUCGCGGCUUAACCGUUUGUUGGUGGGGUAGUGGCUUACCAAGGCUUUGACGGGUAGCCGGGCUGAGAGGGUGGCCGGCCACGUUGGGACUGAGAUACGGCCCAGACUCCUACGGGAGGCAGCAGUGGGGAAUAUUGCACAAGGGGCGGAAGCCUGAUGCAGCAACGCCGCGUGCGGGAUGACGGCCUUCGGGUUGUAAACCGCUUUCGCCUGUGACGAAGCGGGAGUGACGGUAAUGGGUAAAGAAGCACCGGCUAACUACGUG